ACAGGAUCCAGGUGGAUGCUGUCCAUUGAUGAAAGAGUUUGUUCAGCGGUUUCUGGAUAGAAUUAAUUCCAAAGAUGGGAAAAAGUGCACAUCCAGACAAGGAGCAAGCAAAAAGACAAGGAACUUGGUGCAGAGAAAAGCUGUGGCCAUUAACCCCCAUGUGAACAGCUUCAUGCAGUCCCUGAUUGAGUUCGAAUGGACGACUUCAAAGUAAAGGCCACUGUGGUCUGUCUGCCACAGUUUAAUGCAUUUAUUUUUAGUGUUAAAUGAAAUUUAAGUAGAAUAUUUAAAACUAUGGGCCAGUGUUCUUUUUACCACAGUGAAAUGUUACCUUUUAGUCGAUGAUGGACUUUAAACUGAAAACUUCAAACUAUGGAACAGUGUUCUAUUUGCCAGAGUUAAAUAUGUUACAGCAGGGGUCUCCAAACUUGUUUAUACUUGUUGAUUUUAUUUUAUGUUACUUGAUUAUAUGUUUAUUAUUGUUUAAAAUCUUGUUUUAAAUAUGUUUGUUUCAAUUAAAUGUUUUUUUAAAUAAAAUUUUGAUACAUA